CAAGUGGUAAGCACUUGCAAUUGAUUGAUCUGUGAUCAAUUGAGCUUUGAGACAGUUAGCUAGCUACAUGUUUCAUCGUAGAAAUGGGAAUCGCACAAGGAGACUGAUAUUGUGAUUAGCAAAGGAGCCGGUGGGAAAGCCUUCUGUGCUGGUGGAGACAUCAGAGCUGUGACUGAAGCGAGGAAGGUAGGAGAUCCCCUUGGUAAGGACACCUUCCGUGAAGAAUACAUCCUGAACAAUACUAUUGGAACAUGUCAGAAACCAUAUGUGGCCCUUAUUGAUGGGAUAACAAUGGGAGGGGGUGUGAGCCUCUCAGUCCACGGGAGGUUUCGGGUGGCCACUGAGAAGACUCUGUUCGCCAUGCCGGAAGACGGCAAUCGACCCUAGCCAAGAUGUCUCCCACAUCGCUGAAGAUAACCUUCGAGCAGCUUCAGGAGGGAAGCGCCAAGAGUUUGUAGGAGGUUCUGGUGAUGGAGUGCAGACCCAAUCAAGCCUGCAUGGUGAAGGGCAGUGACUUCUACGAGGGUGUGAAGGCCGUGCUGGUUGACAAGCACCACAGCCCCAAGUGGAGACCAUCCACACUGGAGGAGGUCUCAGAACAGAGUGCGGAUGACUACUUCCUGCCACUGGGGGAGCAUGACCUCAAGCUCUAAGGACAACCCCAUAGAUUAGAUCAAGGGAUACCACUUUGGUCCUCCACAACCUCCCACUCAUGAGGUCUUUUCAUAGGAGGCGUCCAAGUUGCCUAAAUUAGUUUCCGGCCCUCGUAUCCUUUCUUUCAUGUCAACUCAAUAUAAUUCAUGUUCUCCUUGAGUUUUAUGGUUGAAAUAAGCCAUCAUAUUCACCUAUUAGUGGUCAUACAGUUGGAAAGGAGACAGGGAAAGGACCAUCAGACAUGGCAUGCCAGUCACUCAGUGGCCUCUCACAACAGCAGGACUUUGGUAAGACCACACCCCAGUGCCGUGCCCAUUUCUGUGGGGGCAGAGAGACUAUGACCUCACCAGUGUAUUAUAAUAUUACUGUGUCAAUGAUUGUUACAUGACAUCUAUCAACAUGGAUCCAAAGUAUAUUAUCUUUCUACAAUGAUGGUUGAUAACACAGUGAAUCUUUUUGGUUUGUUUCUACUAGAUUUACUAAAUUGAUGUUUCCUAAUACACAUCUUCAUUAUCUAGCUAGCUGGUCUCAAAGUUUGUAGUGCUGAAUUGCAAAUCGUAGGACGAUGGAUCAAGCAAUGAUCUAGGCAUCAGAAAUCCUCUGCAAAAGUGAACGAUGAGGCAUUAGGGUAUGUGAGUUCAAACUGAUACGGCAGAUUUAGUAGUCAAUAAAUAUGAAGACACUACAUUUAGAAAAGGAGUUGGGCUUCAUACCAAACCUCUCUAGUGCUGUCUAUUAGGUUACUCGCAAACAGGGGGCCUGCAUUUUUAUUUUUAUUAAAUUGACUCUUCAAGCAGGACUUCUCAAAAGCUGCACAAGUGUUUGUAAGACAACUCCUAGCAUCAAGCUAAAAGGCUAAAGUGGGAUACUAAACCGGUUAUAAAGUCAGUCAGACAAUAUGUACAGCAGGGGUCUUCAACAGGCAGUCCGGGGGCCAACUUCAGUCCACGGGUGGUUAUAUCUGGCCUCACAAAUAAACAAAAAAAGACUAAAGUCACCAGGAAAUAACCAUAAAGUGAUUUUAAAUUAGGAAAUCUGUUCCCAAGCAUUCUCAUGCUUAAAUAAAGAAAUGUAAUCAAGGUUCAAAAUUAUUAGGUUUUUGUCCAUACGCUCCAGAAAGAAAUUGGCACGUGGCUGAAUUAGUUGGGGAUCCCUGAUGCAUUAUAUAUAUAUUUUUUUUUAACCAUUAUUUAACUGGGCAAGUCAAUAUCUCUGUUGUGCUGAUGUACAGAAUUAUUGGCAAAGGGCAAUAUUUCUCAUUACAGUUGGUGGUGCAAAGAAGCAAAUGUUUGUUUUGGUGAGUAGGUGGAGUAGCUGGGUAAGGAAGAGGUUCUAUCCUGUUUGAAGUAUCACAUAACUUGGGAUGGUACUGUCAGGUGGUUUUUAUGGCCUUUGUUGAGUCAUACUUUCCUGUUUACUAGUGCGUGUGAGUCUGUCCAAUACAUUUCCCAAUACAUUCAAUCAAAUACACAAUGCAGGAAGCCUACACUGGGAAAACACCAUGUCAAAAUGUACAGCCUACUGUAAUUUCUACCUAAUUUGUAUUUUAAUGAAAAGGGGGAUUUUGCAGCACUUGAGCUGUUACAUUAUUUUCUGCAGUGUGGCUUUGAUUGAAUUUCUCUGUACGCAGCUCAAAUCAUUGGUUAUAUUAAAUCCCAUUUGCAGCACUCAAACACUCAGCACACAGUUAAGAGCACUUACAGGCUCCCAGAGAGAAAUGAGGCCAGAGAAGCUAAAUGACCCGCCAUGGAGUUUGCUAAGUAAACAAUGAACCAGCAUAAACACUCUCUCCUGGAGAACACAGGCUCAGUAAUUCUCUUGGUGUCAGAGAUUUUAUGGUUUACAAUUUGCCCUUCAAAAAGGCACCAGCCAGGUGUCAUUCUUCUUAAUGUCUUUUGCCCUUGUCAUGUAUCUGGAGUGAUCACUCAGUGUUACAUUUGGCAUUGUAUUACUGUACGCUAAAGGCCAGUUCUCUAUUCAUUGUGCACUCUGGUGUACAAUUCAAUGACUCCAAUUUCCCAACUAGUAGCUUCAAAAGUAUGUUGUAUAAUAGUUAUGUUGAUAAAGAUGUGUAUGAAAACCUCAUCGUAAAAAUGAUCAUUUGAUGUAUUGUUUGAAGUCAUUGACAAAAGCAUAAUUACACUGUACCUGCCUAUGUAACUAUAUAUUAACACUUAGAUUGUAUAUUCCAUUUAUAAAGUGGAAUGUUAAACAUUGGCUUUGUGUACAAGCCUGUAUUGUUCAGCUGCUAAAGCUUCUGAGUCACUAUAUCAAAGCUAAUUUGUGUGAUCCAUUAAUCCAUUUGGCCGAUUAGAAAUCUCCUGGACCUGACAGUCUAUCAGCUAAUCUAAUGAUUCAGUUAAUGUUACAGGGACAUAACACAGGCGCAGAGGGAGCUGUUGGCCCUGGACAGGCAAGAAUGGGUUGAGCACAUGAUCAAAUCUGUUUCAACUCUAGUUAGUGGAUAUUCCUCAAAAAGUUCUACAGCUGCACCAUCAAAAGCAUUCUGACCAGUUGCAUCACCGCCUGGUAUGGCGACUGCUCGGCAUCUGACCGUAAGGCGCCACAGAGGGUAGCGCGUAUACCCCGGAACAUCACUGGGGCCAAGGUUUCUGCCAUCCAGGACCUCUAUACCAGGCGGUGUCAGAGGAAGGCCCAAAUAAUUGUCAAAGACUCCAGCCACCCAAGUAGUAGACUGUUCUCUCUGCUACUGCACGGCAAGCGGUACCAGAGCGCCAAGGCUCCUUAACAGCUUCUACCCCCAAGCCAUAAGACUGCUAAAAUCAAUUAAUCAAAUGGCUACCCGGACUAUUUGCACCACUGAUGCUACUCACUGUUUAUUAUCUAUGCAUAAUCACUUUACCCCUACCUACAAGUACAUAUUACCUCAAUUACCUUGACUAAACUGUACACCCGCACAAUGACUCGGUACCGGUCUCCCCUGUACAUAGCCUCGUUAUUGUUAUUUUAUUGUAACUUUUUUUACUUUCAUUUAUUUAGUAAAUAUUCUCUUAACUCUUAUUUUCUUAAAACUGCAUUGUUGGUUAACUUGUAAGUAAGCAUUUCAUGGUAAGGGCUACACAAAUCAAAUGUUAUUGGUCACAUACACAUGGUUAGCAGAUGUUAAUGUGAGUUUAGCGAAAUGCUUGUACAUUUAGUUCCAACCAUGCAGUAAUAUCUAACAAGUAAUCUAACAAAUUCACAACGACUACCUUAUACACACAACGUAAGGGGAUGGAAUAAGAAUAUAAUCGCACAUCCAUAUAUAUAUGUGCGAUGGCCGUGCGGCAUAGGCAAGAUGCAAUAGAUGGUAUAGAAUACACUAUAUACAUAUGAGAUGAGCAAUGUAGGAUAUGUAAACAUUAUUAAAGUGGCGUUAUUUAAAGUGACUAGUGAUCCAUUAUUAAAUCAAUUUAUUAAAGUGGCCAGUGAUUUGAG